rnacentral:lncRNA from 1 species
GGAAUGAGCGGACGAUGGGGUGAGGGCACGUGUAUAAUACCCAGCGCAGACACAGCGUUAGGGUUAGUUUGCGACCGGACGAGUGACUGUGCGCUUGCGUGGCCCUCGGAGGAUUCCUAGCCAGCUCUCCUCUCUCUUUCUCUCCCGCUCAUUCGCUCUGCGUUCAACGUUCAGUCUUCUCCUUCUCCUUCCCUCAUCGUCCCUCGCAGUAUGCUCGCCCGCCCGGUGGCAGGCGCGACUUCGCACCUCCGAGGGUCUCGCGACCUUCUGCCUGGCUUUCCCGAAUCGGCCCCCUUCCCGCACCGGAUUGAAAUCUCUCAUCCGGCCGCGUCGAUCAUUCGACUAAGGAAUCGCUGAGGAUCUAAGAAAUGGACGACCAUCUGUCGAGGAGCAGAAGGGGCAUUUUGAUGCAGAGUGUCGCUAAUCGGUGAGAAUGUACCUGGCGAUGACGAGGAACGGGAAGGAUCAUCCGUACCCGAUGAGACGCCGAUUCGGAGAAGCAGAGACGAGAGACAUGACGAAGACGGCGUGCAACGGCCCUGUAAGUAAACGUAGCCAAAGAUUAACAGACACAUCGUAGGAAGUUUGAGUUAAAGCCAGCUAAUCUGACGUGGAAUCGUGAGGCUCAUAGUGACAAUCUAUCGAUUUUACCAAUGGAUAUAGGACUUGAGAACAUAAAAAUGUCAAACUAAGGCAACCGAUAUGUGGUUGCCAUUGGUCUACAAAUUGAAAGAAGGAAGGAAAGAGAGAGAGAAAAUUUACAUAUAACAAUCUUGGCGAACAAUUCAACAAACUGUCAGAACCUUGAACAAAUAAUAAUAAAUUGAAAAAAUGGUCACAAUAGUCUCAUUUUCGAUUUCCACGCUGAUGAUGACAAAAACCUACGAGGCGAACAAGUUCCGCCAUAAGAAAUCCACCAUAAGAAAAAGAAUUAUUUGUACUGGUAAAACAUCAGAAAGAGUGGGAGAGAGAGAGAGAAGGGAGAGACAUUUAGAGUACUGAUGCUCAAGUACAACGAUACGUAUUUGGAAAAUACGCUCGGUGAAGAUGAACGACCGCAUCCCGCGGCGCUGGAAAAUUUUCAUUCAAAUAUUCCGCAAUUCCCCGUAUCGGAUAGCAUGAAGAGUAUUACAUCAAAGAUGAUACUGGUUACAGCAGUCAUAAGGAACCUGAAGAUACAUUUAGCACCCUAAUUGAGCUACUUUGCUCUUGCUGAAUUGUGCAAAUUAAAAACAACACUUUUUGGGAGGAACACAAAAUACGAUGUCAGUAAUAUGAAAACGCCAUGAGAGAAAUUAAUUCAGCCUGAUAUUGACAUAAAUUCUUUGAUGACUUCAACUCAAGAUUUGCAUUUUCAACGUGCUGAAACCACGGCGUAAAUAAUGGAUCGAUGAUCAGAUCUAUAAUGAAUUCGUGACGAAGAAAUAUUUGAAAAUCGAAGGCAGAACUGAGAAGAAUCGCAUGUCACUUCAUCAUCCACUGUGUACUUCAACAUACUUCGACAACGAUAAUGAUCACUGGUAGAAAACAUCGGGCUUUAGCUGAAUGCGGUCUGUUUUGUGACAAUAUUGAUGGUAUGACGAAAUUUAUUUUGAGAUGCGGAGGAAUAUUUCUUGAACUCGCGAUAAUGCAAUUUUAGUUUAAGUUUAAUAGAAGUAAUGUGUGUAAUUGUGUAGUGUACUUUGCGCGUGAAUCCAAAUAAGUUAACUUAUAUUCGCAUAAAUUAGAUUAAUUGUAAUUCUUCUCGUAUAGAAACGCAUUAUUGCGAGUUAAAAGCUAAAUUCCACUCUAUGGGCAUUUUUCGGUAAAAUUAUUGUUUGAGUAUUCUUUUUUCGAAGUGAUUUCUUCGAAAUAUUUAGUUAAACGUAGUAAUGAAAAUUUUCUCAACCGAGCGUUUUUGUCAUUUUAUUGAUUUAAGUGUAAUUUAUUUUAAGCUGACGAUUAGUGAGAUUAAUUUUAAUUUAGUAAGUUUCUAUAAUGAAUCUAUGUUUAGUAACUUUUAAAGUACAAGAGCUAAAAAAGAGUACAACACAAAAUCAAAUUUAAUAUUUAAUACUUAGUUUGUCAUGUGCAAGUUGUAUCGAUACAAUCUAGUCAAGCGAUGAGAUUUUCAUUUCUCUUCAAUAUGUCUCAUUUAUUGGGGAUACGUGCCAUAUAAAACAAAAACGUAUAGUACAAAAAACUAUAAAAUCUAGUCGCAUAUAUUUCUGAUUUAGUUAAAAUAUCUCGAGAAUCUAAUUAUAAAACUAAAACUAUUUCUAAUAUCCAGAUAUAAAAACUAUUGGUUCGUACUUGAUAGCAUUAAUCAAAAUUUAUAUCUUAAGUAAAAACAAAGAAUUAAUUUUAAUAUCGAUAUAAUAAUCACGCGUUCGAUACAGAGAAAUACAAAUUUUGAGUUUCCAAAAUUCGCGAAUAAGUUCUACGAACUCUAGGAUCAUAAGCGUUUCAUUGAUCUCUUUGAAAAACCAUACCUACGCAUUCCCUUAGUUUAGGAUUAGAAUCACAAUCAAUUAAAUUGGAUAAGAGUAAUAGACACAACCGAAAAUUCUUACUACCAUUAGAAUUACCUUUACUUGUAACUUGUAUAUUGUAAGUUAAUUAUGCAACGGAAGUUUUCUCUACUAUUUUCAUUCUAGUCAUUAUAAAUUUUUAGUCAUGUCCAAUCGUCUCUAGUCAUUCCUAGUCGAAAAAUUAUCUAAGCUAUCGUCCUAAUUAAGAAAUAAUCAAUUUAAGAAUAAUUUCAUAUUCGGAACAGAAAGAAUAUGCAGGCCACCAAUGAAUGCAAUUUUGUUCUUCAAAUGUGCAAUGUUUCGUGUAUACGUCUCGUAUCUUGGCAUGACGUGCCAAUUAUUCUAUCAGUAUUAUUUGUGCAUUUAUGCGUUUGUAAGCCCGUGGAUUCGAUGCCAUAUGAAACUUAUGACAAAUAAUUAUGUACUAGUCGUUUUUCCCUAAGUAAUUGGAUGAUUCUCCAUGCUUUUCUAGAAGCAUUCACUGUACAGUUCUUGUUUAGCAUUAUCCUAGCUUAGUUAUAAUUGCUUUCCAUAAGUCAAGUCAAGAAUAAGUCAAGUCAUUAGCAAUAAGCACUAGGAAGUAUUUGAUUUGUAAGAUUAAUAACGCAAAUUAUAGAGAUAUGUACUUUGGGAAACGUGCCAGUAUCACGAUUACUUAACGUUAAUAGAUUCUCUGAAUUUAAUGAUUAAGAAGUAAUUAAUUAUUUCUUGCUUUUUUUGCAUCAGAAAAAAAGCUUUAGCGUAAUAUCCGAACGCAAGCAAAAAUAGAGAGAAACAAGCCUGGAAAUUUUGUGCAAAAUAUAAUAUAUGUCUAAAAUGUAUUAUAAAAAGUGCCUGCUUUUUAUUAGAGCGCGUUUAAUUUAUCGUCUCAUUAAUUUAUACGCAAAAGCAAUGUCCUCAACGGCAGCUAUCGAGAUAUAGGAAAGAGCUAAGCAAUAAUGCAUUAGAAAUCUUCACACUUUUUUGAUUAAAAGAUAUUCCUUUAAGUAGACGUAUUGCGCAAACGUCUACUUUAAAGGAAAAUGUUUGCCGUCUUCUAAGCAGUAUAAAGGAUAUGAAUAUAUUACAAAUUUUUAUUUAUUAGCAUUUGCCUUCAUUAAAAGCAUCUUAUGACUAUCAUAAAAUUAUUUUAAUACAUUUGCAAACGUAAUAUGACUACAAAGUAUGCGAUAUAUAUCGCAUUUGAUUAUUAAAAUUUUACAGUAAGCAUGAAUUGAUUUUUCUACAAACAAAUUUCACAUUACGCCUCUUUUCCCAUUUUUCAAUUCUUGGAACAAUAAUUUAUGCUGUUUAGAAGGAAAGAUGAAACGUUUGGAGAUUUCGAAUGCUACUAUUAGAAUUUUAAGACUAACAUGUUUCACUUUUAUGUUUAGGCAAUUCUUAUGUAAUCAGGCUAACCGUCUUUGUCAACAGUGAAAUUUUGAAAAUUAAGUUAUGAAAUCAAUGUACACUAAUAUAUGAUAGACACAGAUCUUAACUUAGUGUCAUUGGUUAUUAAUUUUACGAAUAGUAAUAUGUAAAUCUCUUUCAUAUUCUGCGUAUGAGAUUAACUGCAGAAUACGUUAAGGAUUUAGCAAUAUUAUGUAUACGCCGGGGUGGAAGGACUUCCGUAUUCCCCUGUAUGAGAAAAUGUCAGAAGAUUCAAACACAGAAACCGAUAGGAGAUGCCUCACCAGGAAGAAAAGAGACGGUAUACGUGACACGUGGCAUUCUAUCACCUGAAUAAUAUCCAGGUGACUCCCUGAGAAGAGAGAGAAUCAAACUACCCCAUUAUAAAAUCAUAAUUGCGAGUGGUAUGCGGCUGUGCUUACUUUAAUGAAAUCAUUUGGAAUCCAUUCCAUUUUGUGAUUAUAGAUGCAGGCCAGAUCCAAAAUAUUUUUAAACUCUCGAUGAGUAUUUGAGGACUAAUCAAAUUUAUUCUAAGUUUUGCUUGGCGUUUGCACAAUUUCAUUCCUAACGCAUAAGAAAUUUGAACAAUUAUAGAGAGCGCGCAGUAUAUUUUAUAGAAAACGUACGUAAUUUAAGCUUGCGUCGUAGGGAAAGUAAAAUUAAUCUCGCUAGUCCGUGCGUACGGUGCGUACAUAAGUAGCAAUUUAAAAAAUUAAGUUCCUUUACUUUAAUAUACAAUAAAAAUGGAUAAAAAUCAGUGCAAAAGCUAUUGACCUGUAGUGUAUAAACGAUUGCUAGCCGCAAAUCUAGUCCACAUAAUUCUAUUUAGUCCAUACAAUCUAGUCCAGAACAAUAUAAUUCAAAUUUCAACAAGUAUACGAAUAUUAUAAUCGAUAGAGUAAUAUAUAAGGAUGUAUCAUUUACGAGUAUUUUUACAAAAAUAAUCUUUCACCAGGCAGGUCUAAUUUUGACAGCUGUUUGAUGUGUAAUAUUACAUGCGAGUGGUAUCUAGUCAGAGAGCUCAUGGACAAUUAACUUGAAACGUUUAAUCGGGGAAGAUGGAAUUUCCGGGAGAGUGCACGUAGAAAUAAUCGCCAAAUAGAAUGUAAUGCAAGCCAACAGCUGUUUUAUACAUAAUAAUUAAAUCUUUUAGAGUAUCAAGUCGUAUCAAUCAAAGAUUUCUCGUAUUAUGUUUGAAUAUAAUCUAUUUAAUAGAUACACAUGACACUAUUUUUGAUACAGUCGUACAAAUUUAAUACUUUUUAUAUGACGAAUUAUAUUAAUAUAUAAUACAUAAUUCUGUGAUCAAGAACAAUUUGAGAAAGUUGGCUCUUUGCGUAACUGCAUUCGAAUGGACAAUAAUAAUUUUUCUCUGUAGUUUACUCACAGUUUAUUGAAGAUUAUUGAGCAAAAUACUCCCGCUCUUGACGCACAGCUACGUCCCUUCCAAGUCAUCGUCCCUUGAUUGACAUAGUAGAGCACACGAUCUCAGUCCAUGAGCAGUAAAUGUAGUCUGUAAAAAUUCUAGUCUGUAAAAUCUAGUCUACUUGGUAUAAUGAGAAUCAAUAGAUAAAACAUGACAUCAUUAUUAACAGAUAUUUAUAUGAUAGAAACUUAUAACAGAUAACAAAUAAAUACGCGGACGGAUACGCGGAGUGAUGAAUAAAUUAAAACAUCUAUAUAUUACUUAUUUAUCAUUCCGCGUGCUUAUUCUCAUUUAUUAUGUGUCGUAAGUUUGGAGAAUAAUACAGUACGGUACAUGUAUAUGUAGUACUUUUACAUGUACAUGUAUGUACUUUAAUAUGUGUUAAAAGGCUCUCCGUUUUCUCCGUGUAAAGAAGUUUGCCGUGUGAAAUGUUUAUUCACUUUUCGAAGUAGCUUAACAAUUUUCAUAAGGAGAGAGCCUAAGUACAUCCCACACAUAUUUAACCAUUUAUUUAUUCCACGUAUUUAUUGCUAAGCAAUUAUUUAAUAUAGCCAUUUACAUAGCGUAGAAUUUGUGCGCAAUAUUUAAUCUAUUUAUUAUAAAUUAUUUCGUGUGUUUGUCCACCUAUUUAUUUAUUACUUAUUAUUCCGCGUAUUUAUCCGUUUAUUCAUGUAAUACUUAUAUUAUUGUAAAACAUGUGUGUGUAUUGUAUAUGUGUGUUGCUUGUGUUCACAUGUAACCAAAUUGCAGUGUCUAUAAUGUAUUCCACAUAAAUUAUUAUAAAAUAUCGGAAACACGUACAGCCGUUUACGUAAAUAUCGAAAUUUAUCUGAUAAAAUUCGUUAUAUUGUCGCAUGCUGAAUUUUAAUACAUCGAUUAUUCGGAAAAAUCAUAUGUUAAUGUACUUAUCAUGAAAUAUCCGCAUAAACCUUUCCGAAAAAGACGAACAAGUGAUAUUGCAUAAAAAAUAUAAAUCCGAUAACAUAAUUUGGUGUAAAAGUGAAGAAAUUAUAUUUAUGCAUAAUCAUGCGUUUUAUUGUAUUUUUUUUCUGGAAGAAAGAAUUAUAAUUAUUUUGCCUCCUUUGUACAUGUUAUUACCAAACUUAUCCAAUAAAAUCUAUAAUAGCCAA